AUGAACGCUAGCUACAGGCUUAACACAUGCAAGUCGAGGGGCAGCAUGGUCUUAGCUUGCUAAGGCCGAUGGCGACCGGCGCACGGGUGAGUAACACGUAUCCAACCUGCCGUCUACUCUUGGACAGCCUUCUGAAAGGAAGAUUAAUACAAGAUGGCAUCAUGAGUCCGCAUGUUCACAUGAUUAAAGGUAUUCCGGUAGACGAUGGGGAUGCGUUCCAUUAGAUAGUAGGCGGGGUAACGGCCCACCUAGUCUUCGAUGGAUAGGGGUUCUGAGAGGAAGGUCCCCCACAUUGGAACUGAGACACGGUCCAAACUCCUACGGGAGGCAGCAGUGAGGAAUAUUGGUCAAUGGGCGAGAGCCUGAACCAGCCAAGUAGCGUGAAGGAUGACUGCCCUAUGGGUUGUAAACUUCUUUUAUAAAGGAAUAAAGUCGGGUAUGGAUACCCGUUUGCAUGUACUUUAUGAAUAAGGAUCGGCUAACUCCGUGCCAGCAGCCGCGGUAAUACGGAGGAUCCGAGCGUUAUCCGGAUUUAUUGGGUUUAAAGGGAGCGUAGAUGGAUGUUUAAGUCAGUUGUGAAAGUUUGCGGCUCAACCGUAAAAUUGCAGUUGAUACUGGAUAUCUUGAGUGCAGUUGAGGCAGGCGGAAUUCGUGGUGUAGCGGUGAAAUGCUUAGAUAUCACGAAGAACUCCGAUUGCGAAGGCAGCCUGCUAAGCUGCAACUGACAUUGAGGCUCGAAAGUGUGGGUAUCAAACAGGAUUAGAUACCCUGGUAGUCCACACGGUAAACGAUGAAUACUCGCUGUUUGCGAUAUACUGCAAGCGGCCAAGCGAAAGCGUUAAGUAUUCCACCUGGGGAGUACGCCGGCAACGGUGAAACUCAAAGGAAUUGACGGGGGCCCGCACAAGCGGAGGAACAUGUGGUUUAAUUCGAUGAUACGCGAGGAACCUUACCCGGGCUUAAAUUGCAGAUGAAUUACGGUGAAAGCCGUAAGCCGCAAGGCAUCUGUGAAGGUGCUGCAUGGUUGUCGUCAGCUCGUGCCGUGAGGUGUCGGCUUAAGUGCCAUAACGAGCGCAACCCUUGUUGUCAGUUACUAACAGGUUCCGCUGAGGACUCUGACAAGACUGCCAUCGUAAGAUGUGAGGAAGGUGGGGAUGACGUCAAAUCAGCACGGCCCUUACGUCCGGGGCUACACACGUGUUACAAUGGGGGGUACAGAGGGCCGCUACCACGCGAGUGGAUGCCAAUCCCCAAAACCUCUCUCAGUUCGGACUGGAGUCUGCAACCCGACUCCACGAAGCUGGAUUCGCUAGUAAUCGCGCAUCAGCCACGGCGCGGUGAAUACGUUCCCGGGCCUUGUACACACCGCCCGUCAAGCCAUGGGAGCCGGGGGUACCUGAAGUGCGUAACCGCGAGGAGCGCCCUAGGGUA
rnacentral:rRNA from 1 species